AGACCCAACCUUCAUCACAUCAUCGGUAGCUUUUGGGCCACCCCGAUU
rnacentral:misc_RNA from 1 species